UUAUUAUUAUAAAAAUUUAAAAUAUAUAAAUAAUUUUUAAAUAGUUUAGACUAUUUGUAUUAAAUAUAAAUUUUAAUUUUAUAAUAUUGAGCAUUUAGAUAUAGAUUGUAUAUUAAAAAAUACAAGAAGAAUUGAUAGAGUUUAAGUUAAUUUUAUAUUUUACAAAAUUUAGUUGUGAAAAUGGCAUAAAAUAUACUAACUAAAUUUAUAAAGUUAAGCGGUACAUUUAUAUUUUUAAAGUUAAAAUGCUAUUGACUGACUCAAAUUUAAUAUAUAGAAAAAUUGAAUAAUAAAAAUAAAAUUUUGAAAGAUUGGAUUUAUACUUUUUGUCCUUAAAAUUAUAAGACGAGUGACACUUUAAUUCUCAAACUUUAAUAUGUUAUGAUUUAAAUUAUGAACCAUGUGACACUUUCAUUCUCAAACUUUAAUUAGUUACAAUUUCUGACUUUAAAUAUAAAGUUUAUUAUUUUAGUUCUCAACAUUUAUUAUUGUUAUAAAUAUAAUUUAUUAUUCGUAUAGUUUUUGCUGUUAUGAAGGACCAAAAAAUAUGUUUG
rnacentral:lncRNA from 1 species